ACAUCGCCCCACGGAUACAAUGUAACAGGAUAUUGUAUAUAUAGUUUUUAGGAAUAUAGUUUUAGCUCUUUUCAUUUCAAGUAGUUGUAUACAUCUUCAUUAGUUGUAGUGCAAAAUGUAUAUGCUUGGGUUAAGAGUCCAAGCGGUUGGUUCAAUUUUAUUGAAGGGUGGACAGGUUAGUCUAUUCUUGUCCCUUUGUCACAAGCUCUCUAGCUUGUCAAUACAAUAGCUUUCAGCUUCCUAGCUGAUUAACAUUAUCUAACUACAGCUUUCCUCCCUAACAUUUGCACACUUUUUAUUCACUCUGCUUAUAACUCUGCACAGACAGGACAUGGACUACAUAUAGUUCAGGAAUGCCAUAAUCCUAUAUGAUGUGGGUUUAUAGACACACCCCGGUGUCACCCACAGGGGUUGAUUGAUCAAUUGUGAUUGAUAAUGGAAUAAAUGUCACCUCAACAAACACAACCGCAGCUUGUCAUUUUUCAUAAUGAACUACCCCUGCUACAACAACAUACAUCAGACAUCGCCCCACGGACACAACAGACAUCGCCCCACGGACACAA